rnacentral:rRNA from 1 species
UGAGGAAUAUUGGUCAAUGGGCGUGAGCCUGAACCAGCCAAGUCGCGUGAGGGAAGACGGUCCUACGGAUUGUAAACCUCUUUUGUCGGGGGGCAAUAAAGCGUACGCGUACGCAGAUGCGAGUACCCGAAGAAAAAGCAUCGGCUAACUCCGUGCCAGCAGCCGCGGUAAUACGGAGGAUGCGAGCGUUAUUCGGAUUUAUUGGGUUUAAAGGGUGCGCAGGCGGAAAGUGCAAGUCAGCGGUCAAACGACGGGGCUCAACCCCGUCUCGCCGUUGAAACUGUCUUUCUAGAGUGAGCGAGAAGUAUGCGGAAUGCGUGGUGUAGCGGUGAAAUGCAUAGAUAUCACGCAGAACUCCGAUUGCGAAGGCAGCAUACCGGCGCUCAACUGACGCUCAUGCACGAAAGCGUGGGUAUCGAACAGGAUUAGAUACC